AGCUGCCACAGUGAAAUAUGCACCAAUUCUACGGCUUACUCAACUUCCACGAACCAAAAGCUAUAUGGGAAAACAGUCUAUAGCAAACAAAUGAAUUGCAGCUUUAAUAGCAAAAAAGCAGAAGUCAAGGCAUUAAUAAAGAAAGAAACCCUUUCACACAUUUCGCACAAUCCACCCCCAUGCAUGGAACAUGCAAGUCAAAAUUUGAGUUGGAGGUGUUUAAAUUGUUAGCUCAGCUACAAUUCAGAGUUUUUCAGUACGUUUCCAGCGAAUUAACUAAUUUCACACACAACUGUGGAAUAUUGGCGAAAAAUGGUUGAGCUCAACUUUUUUGUUUACUUUCCGAUCGGAUUCAAAUAUUUUUUAAAUAAUCUUUGCAAGACGUUUUUGAGAUGUGUUGAAUAUUUUAUAGAAUGUCGUUGAAACUAACUACAUACAAGAGUUGCUAACAUAA